rnacentral:rRNA from 1 species
UACAGAGGAGCCAAGCGUUGUCCGGAGUUACUGGGCGUAAAGCGCGCGCAGGCGGCCCGGCAAGCAUGGCGUGAAAGCCCCCGGCUCAACCGGGGAGGGUCGUCGUGGACUGCCGGGCUUGAGGGCGGUAGGGGUUGGUGGAAUGCCCGGUGUAGUGGUGAAAUGCGUAGAGAUCGGGCGGAACACCCGUGGCGAAGGCGGCCAACUGGGCCGACCCUGACGCUGAGGCCGCGAAGGCGUGGGGAGCGAACGGG